AAAAACAUAGUAAACUAAAUUACAUUUCAUUUACAAUGAAAAAUUCUCCUAUGAGUGUUUUUU
rnacentral:tRNA from 1 species